GUGAAUCAUCGAAUUUUUGAACGCAAAUUGCACUCUCUGGCAUUCCGGGGAGUAUGCCUGUUUGAGGGUAAGUAAAAUCAAAAUUGGAGCGAUUCUUUUUGGUUGACGGACCUGAGUUUGGUGCGUUUUAACUGUUUGUUUUAAUUGACUUGAAAUGAAUCUUUUUUUUUGCUAACUGUUUUAAU
rnacentral:misc_RNA from 1 species